rnacentral:rRNA from 4 species
AAUCCAUAGGUUAAUGAGGCGAACCGGGGGAACUGAAACAUCUAAGUACCCCGAGGAAAAGAAAUCAACCGAGAUUCCCCCAGUAGCGGCGAGCGAACGGGGAGGAGCCCAGAGCCUGAAUCAGCAUGUGUGUUAGUGGAAGCGUCUGGAAAGGCGCGCGAUACAGGGUGACAGCCCCGUACACAAAAGCGCAUGUGCUGUGAGCUCGAUGAGUAGGGCGGGACACGUGGUAUCCUGUCUGAAUAUGGGGGGACCAUCCUCCAAGGCUAAAUACUCCUGACUGACCGAUAGUGAACCAGUACCGUGAGGGAAAGGCGAAAAGAACCCCGGCGAGGGGAGUGAAAAAGAACCUGAAACCGUGUACGUACAAGCAGUGGGAGCACCCUUUGGGUGUGACUGCGUA